rnacentral:rRNA from 1 species
GACGGAGGAUGCAAGUGUUAUCCGGAAUCACUGGGCGUAAAGCGUUUGUAGGUGGUUUCAAAAGUCCACUGUUAAAGAUUGAAGCUUAACUUCAAAAAUGCCGUGGAAACUUUGAAACUUGAGUAUGAUAGGGGUAGAGGGAAUUUCCAGUGGAGCGGUGAAAUGCGUAGAUAUUGGAAAGACCACCAAUGGCGAAGGCACUCUACUGGGCCAUUACUGACACUGAGAGACGAAAGCUAGGGGAGCAAAUGGG